rnacentral:rRNA from 1 species
AACUUGAGAGUUUGAUCCUGGCUCAGAACGAACGCUGGCGGCAUGCCUAACACAUGCAAGUCGAACGAACCCUUCGGGGUUAGUGGCGCACGGGUGCGUAACGCGUGGGAAUCUGCCCUUAGGUACGGAAUAACAGUGAGAAAUUACUGCUAAUACCGUAUGAUGUCUUCGGACCAAAGAUUUAUCGCCUAGGGAUGAGCCCGCGUAGGAUUAGCUAGUUGGUGAGGUAAAGGCUCACCAAGGCUACGAUCCUUAGCUGGUCUGAGAGGAUGAUCAGCCACACUGGGACUGAGACACGGCCCAGACUCCUACGGGAGGCAGCAGUGGGGAAUAUUGGACAAUGG